rnacentral:rRNA from 1 species
UACGGAGGGUGCGAGCGUUGUCCGGAAUCACUGGGCGUAAAGAGCGUGUAGGCGGCCAUGUAGGUCCGGUGUGAAAACUCGAGGCUUAACCUCGAGAUGUCAUCGGAAACCAUUUGGCUAGAGUCCGGAAGAGGAGAGUGGAAUUCCUGGUGUAGCGGUGAAAUGCGCAGAUAUCAGGAAGAACACCAAUGGCGAAAGCAGCUCUCUGGGACGGUACUGACGCUGAGACGCGAAAGCGUGGGGAGCGAACAGG